rnacentral:rRNA from 1 species
CUGCUUUUGUCAGGGAAGAAAUCUUCUGGGCUAAUACCCCGGGAGGAUGACGGUACCUGAAGAAUAAGCACCGGCUAACUACGUGCCAGCAGCCGCGGUAAUACGUAGGGUGCGAGCGUUAAUCGGAAUUACUGGGCGUAAAGCGUGCGCAGGCGGCUUUGCAAGACAGAUGUGAAAAUCCCCGGGGCUCAACCUGGGAAACUGCAUUUGUGACUGCAAGGCUAGAGUACGGCAGAGGGGGAUGGAAUUCCGCGUGUAGCAGUGAAAUGCGUAGAUAUGCGGAGGAACACCAAUGGCGAAGGCAAUCCCCUGGGCCUGUACUGACGCUCAUGCACGAAAGCGUGGGGAGCAAACAGGAUUAGAUACCCUGGUAGUCCACGCCCUAAACGAUGUCAACUGGUUGUUGGACGGCUUGCUGUUCAGUAACGAAGCUAACGCGUGAAGUUGACCGCCUGGGGAGUACGGCCGCAAAGGUUGAAACUCAAAGGAAUUGACGGGGGACCCGCACAAGCGGUGGAUGAUGUGGUUUUAAUUUCGAUGCAACGCGAAAAACCUUACCUACCCUUUGACAUGUCAAGAAUUUUGCAGAGAUGUGAAAGUGCUCGAAAGAGAACUUGAACACAGGUGCUGCAUGGCCGUCGUCAGCUCGUGUCGUGAGAUGUUGGGUUAAGUCCCGCAACGAGCGCAACCCUUGUCAUUAGUUGCUACCGCAAGGAGCACUCUAAUGAGACUGCCGGUGACAAACCGGAGGAAGGUGGGGAUGACGUCAGGUCCUCAUGGCCCUUAUGGGUAGGGCUACACACGUCAUACAAUGGCCGGUACAGAGGGCUGCCAACCCGCGAGGGGGAGCCAAUCCCAGAAAACCGGUCGUAGUCCGGAUCGUAGUCUGCAACUCGACUGCGUGAAGUCGGAAUCGCUAGUAAUCGCGGAUCAGCUUGCCGCGGUGAAUACGUUCCCGGGUCUUGUACACACCGCCCGUCACACCCAUGGGAGCGGGUUCUGCCAGAAGUAGUUAGCCUAACCGCAAGGAGGGCGAUA